AUUGAACGCUGGCGGCAUGCCUUACACAUGCAAGUCGAACGGCAGCACGGGAGCAAUCCUGGUGGCGAGUGGCGAACGGGUGAGUAAAGUAUCGGAACGUGCCCAGUCGUGGGGGAUAACGUAGCGAAAGUUACGCUAAUACCGCAUACGAUCUAUGGAUGAAAGCGGGGGAUCGCAAGACCUCGCGCGAUUGGAGCGGCCGAUAUCAGAUUAGGUAGUUGGUGGGGUAAAGGCUCACCAAGCCGACGAUCUGUAGCUGGUCUGAGAGGACGACCAGCCACACUGGGACUGGGACACGGCCCAGCCUCCUGCGGGAGGCAGCAGUGGGGAAUUUUGGACAAUGGGCGCAAGCCUGAUCCAGCCAUGCCGCGUGCAGGAUGAAGGCCUUCGGGCUGUAAACUGCUUUUGUACGGAACGAAAAGGUUUGACUUAAUACGUUGGACUCAUGACGGUACCGUAAGAAUAAGCACCGGCCAACUACGUGCCAGCCGCCGCGGUAA
rnacentral:rRNA from 1 species